rnacentral:rRNA from 1 species
UACGAAGGGGGCUAGCGUUGUUCGGAAUUACUGGGCGUAAAGCGCACGGAGGCGGUCUUUUAAGUCGGGGGUGAAAUCCUGGAGCUCAACUCCAGAACUGCCUUCGAUACUGGAAGACUUGAGUCCGGGAGAGGUGAGUGGAACUGCGAGUGUAGAGGUGAAAUUCGUAGAUAUUCGCAAGAACACCAGUGGCGAAGGCGGCUCACUGGCCCGGUACUGACGCUGAGGUGCGAAAGCGUGGGGAGCAAACAGG